AUGGUCACAUCAAGUUAAAACACAGGUUCCCUUACGAUCACUACAGUUAAGCAACUCCGGACCGGGUAGGUACAUCGAUGGAUAACCGCUUGCGAAUACAAGGUGCUGUAAU